rnacentral:lncRNA from 1 species
ACACACUUAUCAUAACUCACGGUUUUCAAAAUAAACAAACAUGCUCAACUAUUUGCACUACCUUUAUUCAUUCAAGUUCAACUUCCAUUGGGGCCUAACUUUAGAUUUUUCAUCUAAAAAAGACCCAACAUUAAAUUUCUAGGAUACUUCAAGGAUCCUACAUACAAUCAUGAUAGUUUCUAUAUAUUUUUCCAUGGAAUACACAUAUCAACUUGUUUAAAUAAAUAGAUAGAU